rnacentral:rRNA from 1 species
AUUGAACGCUGGCGGCAGGCCUAACACAUGCAAGUCGAGCGAGCGGCGGACGGGUGAGUAAUGUAUGGGGAUCUGCCCGAUAGAGGGGGAUAACUACUGGAAACGGUGGCUAAUACCGCAUACUAUCGGAUGACCCAUAUGGGAUUAGCUAGUAGGGGGGGUAAAGGCUCACCAAGGCAACGAUCCCUAGCCGGUCUGAGAGGAUGACCAGCCACACUGGGACUGAGACACGGCCCAGACUCCUACGGGAGGCAGCAGUGGGGAAUAUUCGGCAAUGGGCGAAAGUCUGACCGAGCAACGCCGCGUGUGUGAAGAAGGUUUUCGGGUCGUAAAGCUCUGUUGGCAGGGAGGCGGUACCUGACCAAGAAGCCACGGCUAACUACGUGCCAGCAGCCGCGGUAAUUC